AACAGUCAGUUAUUGAAAAGAAAAUCUUGGUAAAGAAAGCAUAAGAGUUUGGGAAUGGCUGCAGUUGGCAUAGGUGGUGUAGUACUCCAUUCUUCAUUUCUGGGGAAGAAACUGGGGAUUUUGAAGCCGUUAUGUUUGUCGAUACGAUUGAAGAAACAAUGUAAUUUUUCAAUUUGCAGUAGCUCUGUACAUGAUCUUUUUGUUGGAGUUGGGGUAGGACUACCCUGUACUGUAAUGGAGUGUGGUGAUAUAAUUUAUAGAAGCACACUACCCAAGUCAAAUGGGAUCACAGUUACAGUUCCUGGGGUUAUUUUGGCUUUGGGUACCCUCUCUUACCUCUGGGCUACUCCUGGUGUUGCUCCUGGUUUCUUUGAUAUGUUUGUUCUUGCCUUUAUUGAAAGAUUCUUUCGACCUAUUUAUAAGAAGG
rnacentral:misc_RNA from 1 species